rnacentral:lncRNA from 1 species
AAAAUCAGGAAAUACAAAGAAAAGCUAAGGGGAAGGAGCAAUAUGAAAAUUCAAAAGAGCAAUUGACUGGCUCUUCCGCCAGCAUCCCAAAGGGAUAAUUUUCUUGCGGCGUAAUGAGAAUGUGAGACGGAUGUUGACUCCAUGGUUGGUGCGGUGUUCAUGCGAAACAAAGAAAAUAAAGUAAAGGGAUAGGUUAGAAACACUCAUACUUAGCAGUCUAGUAUGAAGGAAAUUCUCAUAGGAUAAAAUCAUAUAAGCUGUUUAAUGAAAGAAAGAGGUACUCGUACUUGAAUCACAAGCAGAUAGUAUGUGAGAGACAUAAUCUAAAUGUAAAGGAAAGAAAUAGUAGCCAUUUUACACUUGAAAUCAAGGCAACAGUAUUUAACUUUGAGAUUAUGAGCAUACCGUUUUUCAAUAGACCUGAAUAAAAUAAUUCCUAACAUCAUGAUAUCUAAGCACAAAUUAACAUCAUUAAUUUAUGAGAGCGUACAAAUUUAUAUUGCAACUAAAGGGAACCAGAGAGAAGACUUAACCCAAUUUCCUUUAACUUAAUCGCUAAUUUAUGAUAUAUGACUUGACAAAAGUAAGAAACCUAAAGUUCAAACCUGGUGUUUUAAAAAUACUUAGGCAAAUGAUAGAAUUAUUCAUUUAGUUUAACAAGAAUUCGGCAAAUAUGUGAGAAAACACUUUACUAGAUCAUAAAUUCGGUAUACAACAUAUUAACCAUCAAUACAUUUAUAAUCUACUCCUAUGUGAGAAUAAAGCAUUAACAAGACAAUAAAAUUUCUAGAAAACUUAUAAAAAGAGAUACGGAAGAAAAAGGAUUUUUAUAAGCUCGAAAUCACUAAAGUUGUCAAAUUACAUUUAGAAAACAUAGUGAACGAAUUUAGGCAAAUCUUAACAUCACAAGGCUACACAUGUAUCUCUAAAUCCUGACUAAAAAAAUUAACCAUUUCAAACAAAGCAAUUUUUUUAAACGAACGAAGUAAUAGAAAUUCGGUUUAGAGCUAACCUUUUUGGAGGCAGUGAACUAAAACUUUGAGAUUUCAGAUCUACUCCCUCCACGUAACAAGAUCGAACUCUGUUUUAGCGAACUAAAUAGGGACAGAGAUUACAGAAAAGAAAAGAAUUACUUGUUGACUCGAUUUUGCCGUGUUCUAACUAUUUUUCGAGGAUUCCCAGAUGAUCUUUCGGCUUGAGAGUUGAGGAGUAUUUAUAGGAGAAAACUAGGGUUUUGAAAGCGGGAAUUGAAAGAUCCGUUUGAAAUUCAAAAUUGCUCGUUCAAGAUCCGUCCAACCUGUGACAGAAAGAAGAUCAACAAAAUCGUCCUCUUGCUUCAGAGAAACAACGAUUUGGUCAACUUUGAUACCAAAGUUUUCAGCUUUUCAUUGAAUAUGUAAGAGAGAGAAUGAAAACUUUGAUGAAAAUGGUGAAACCAUUCUGAUUUCAUGGUGAAAGCGAGUUGGAAUUUUGUCCAAGAGAGGAAAGGGGUGGGCGGCUGC